UUCACCUCAAGUACGAGAGUCCAGUGCGGGACACCUGGCGAUUUCUGAGCCCCACACUGCUUUUAUCACCCAAAUAACCGCCUUCACAUAUGAUUAUUGUUUAAAGGGUUAAUUAUUGGGGCUUCUUGGCAUCAGGUAUGGGUCAGAAGCCGGUAAAUGCGCGGCUUUGAGUACGAUAAUCUAGCAUCGGUGCGCGGUAAAAAAUCAUAACACAGCUGAUCGUCCACGCAGUUCCUCCUUCACGACGUGUUUUGAGAGGUGCUUGCAGUGUUUUUGGCGGAGCGUGACACCAAGAUGACCUACCAGAAUGUGAGCAUCGUGCUGUCGCCCACCAUGCAGAUUUCUCACCGGGUGCUCAAUGUCUUCUUCCUCAACCGUGCCUACCUCUUUGGGGGAGUCGCCAUCAAAAAGUUUCGGGCGCCCAGCCGUACACGUGAACUAACAGUCUUGGCUUCAGGGCAGGUCGCUAAAAUGAGCGGUGGCACUGCCCGGCACUUCCUCAAGAAGGCUCUCCUGCCCCUGACUGGCUGGUGUGACAGUCUGCUGCUUCUUGAAGUCCAGUGUCCCAACCUCACUACAACGCUGACUACUGCCUUAAGUGUGGUAGUGGAGGAUAGUGGCCGAGUGGAGGCUACAGCGGACUAUUCCUGCGAAAAGGGGAGGAUAGUCGGGAAUAGUCAGCGGAAGUGUGGUAGUAAUGGUAUCUGGAGUGGCAGUCAACCACGCUGUGAAUAUGUGACCUGCGACCUACCACAAGGCUUGGAUAAUGGUAGAAUAGUCCGACUCAACCAGACCCUGGAAUACGGUAGCCUGGUCGAAUAUCACUGUCUACCGGAACACAGGCUGGUCGGGGGGACCUUCCGGAGGUCAUGUGGCGAGCUGGGCGAGUGGUUGGGUGGAGAACCGAAGUGUGUGUUGGGUCCAGAGGAUGCCUACAACACCAUAGGCUCCGAUAGUAGUAGUAGUAGUGUGAGUACUACUUCUACUUCUACCGCUAGCAACACCGGGCUCUACAUCGGACUAUUCUUCGGGCUCAUCCUGGCGAUAGUCUUCAUAGGAGUGCUAGUCUACUUCAGAAUGAGUGUCGAUGAUUUGAUUGAGGCAGUAUUCCUCGGCAAAGUGCAUGACAGCUUUUGCCUGGGUCCUCAUGUCUUCCGCUCCUCCAUACACACACUCCAAAUUCCAGUCUGUUAGCGGAAAGUUUAAGUCUGCAAGGCAGUGCCAGUGUUUGGAGUGCCACUGUGCCUGGCCGUCCAGCGCUGCCCGGCACACGAUGGCAUCCAGCUGCCCACCAUUGUCAGGGAGUGCAUUGACCAGAUAGAGGUUUGCAGUGAGAACUGACGGACGAUGGCCGGAGCCAGAGCCGAGGCUGACUCUAGACGGGAGAUGGCAGAGUGAACAUGACCCCGAACUGUGGCGUUGAGGACUUCCUGAUGGAGGUUAAGCUGACGUCUCUCUUCCGCCAAUAGAGUGUAGAGAUGGGAGAUUUUCCCGUGUAUGACGUCUAUCUGGGCCUGACUGGCCGUACCAGAAAGGAGGUGCAAGCGAGCCAAUGAAAUCAACGGCUCCUCGCCGCUGGGGAGUCCGAAACGGGCUCUCAUCCCUACCACUCCUAGCCGACAGGAAGUUGUUGAGAUCCUUGAACAAUUUUGCAAAUUCAGUGUGGAAGGAGUCUAGAGUCCGCCUCAGCAGCCCAACAGUACAUGCCACCCAUUGGGUAGCAGCAGCAGUGGAGAGCGGAGUGUGGAACAGCUGCAUAGUGUGGCAGAGAUUGAGGUGGAAAUGAUGAAGCAGGAAUCUCGAUUGGCACACCUCCAUACUCAGGUGUGUGUGUGUGUGUGUGUGUGUGUGUCCAUAGAUAGAUAGAUAAUCUGUAUAUAUUUAUCUAUGCUAAAUGUAAGUCAAAUGCUCUUUUAUAUUAUUGUCUGUCAAUUGAUAUUUAUUUCUCUCAAUACUUUAAUUAUGUAUAUAUAUAUAUCUAAUGACGAGAUUUUCUAUUCUCUUUUUUUCUAUUACUCUCUUGGUCCCACACGUCCUCUGCGUGUAUCCAAACACACGAGAAAUUAAUCACAACAAGGAGAGGGUAUUCCCCGGCUGCCUGGGACUGAACCCGCGACCAGCGUGACGGGAGAGCCACUCCUUACCGAGUAGUAGUAGUAGUAGUAGUAGUAGUAGUAGUAGUAGUAGUAAUGGUAGUUCUUGCUUAGAAUAUAAAUUCAUUGAUCUCUCUCCAUAUUUCUUUAUUUAUUUUAUCUAUUAACAUAUGCACUGUCCUCAUCUGUCUAUCUAUUAAUCUAUCAUUUAUCUAUUGACCUAUCCUCCCUCUCACACAUGUAUUUAUCAGUUUAUCUAUCUAUCUGCCUCUCCCCUUCUCUUUCUUUCCCACAUGUAUAUAUUAAAGCAUGUAUUAUAUUAUCUAUCAGCCUUUUCCUCCCUUCAAACAUGUAUUUCUGUAUUUAUCAGUUUAUCUAUCUAUCUGUCCUUUCCCAUCUGUCUUUCCUUCACGCAUGUAUUUCUCAUUCAUUCAUGUCAUGGAUGCUUGCUCCUAGGAGCUCCCACCAGGGGAUGGCCACGGCAGAAGAGCUUCCAACCUUCUCUAUCCAGACACUCCCUCCUUGCCUGCUCAAAGAUCUUUCCCCCCUCUCCCUAACGUACUCUUGCACCCUAUCCCUCCAUUUCACUGGAGGCCCAACAUU